rnacentral:rRNA from 1 species
GACGAACGCUGGCGGCGUGCUUAACACAUGCAAGUCGAACGGAAAGGCCUGCUUUCCCUUGUGGAUUGCGGGUACUCGAGUGGCGAACGGGUGAGUAACACGUGAGUGAUCUGCCCCCAACUUGGGUAUAAGCCUGGGAAACUGGGUCUAAUUCCCGAUAGGACUGCAGGGUGGUGCCUGUGGUGGAAAACGAUUUUCUAGUGGUUGGGGAUGAGCUCGCGGCCUAUCAGCUUGUUGGUGGGGUAAUGGCCUACCGAGGCGGCGACGGGUAGCCGGCCUGAGAGGGUGGACGGCCACAUUGGGACUGAGAUACGGCCCAGACUCCGACGGGAGGCAGCAGUGGGGAAUAUUGCACAAUGGGCGGAAGCCUGAUGCAGCGACGCCGCGUGGGGGAUGACGGCCUUCGGGUUGUAAACUCCUUUCGACCGCGAGGAAGCCACCUGGUUGGAAGGGUGGUGACGGUAGUGGUAGAAGAAGCACCGGCUAACUACGUG